AGCAAAUGCCUUGAGUUCAGUUCAAGGCAGUGUCCCUGUUCUGCUCAUUAAACUUUGGGACAUUGAACCAGCUAGGGUAAAUGAUUGACUAGAAAAUUUUAUUGUAUUCACUUACCUCCCAGGCUAAAAAA